UACGGAGGGUGCAAGCGUUAUCCGGAUUCACUGGGUUUAAAGGGUGCGUAGGUGGGUCUGUAAGUCCGUGGUGAAAUCUCCGAGCUUAACUUGGAAACUGCCAUGGAUACUAUAGAUCUUGAAUACUGUGGAGGUUAGCGGAAUAUGUCAUGUAGCGGUGAAAUGCUUAGAUAUGACAUAGAACACCAAUUGCGAAGGCAGCUGGCUACACAAAUAUUGACACUGAUGCACGAAAGCGUGGGGAGCAAACAGG
rnacentral:rRNA from 1 species